rnacentral:rRNA from 1 species
GCGCAGCAGUCGCGAAACCUCCGCAAUACACGAAAGUGUGACGGGGCCAUCCCGAGUGCCGUCCGCUGAGGACGGCUUUUCCCCAGUGUACACAGCUGGGGGAAUAAGGAGAGGGCAAGCCUGGUGUCAGCCGCCGCGGUAAUACCAGCUCUCCGAGUGGUGGGGACGCUUAUUGGGCCUAAAGCAUCCGUAGCCGGCUGGGCAAGUCCUCCGUUAAAUCCAACGAUUCAAUCGUUGGGCUGCGGGGGAUACUGUCCAGCUUGGGGGCGGGAGAGGCCGACGGUAUUCCCCGGGGUAGGGGUGAAAUCCUAUAAUCCCCGGGAGGACCACCAGUGGCGAAGGCUGUCGGCUAGAACGCGCCCGACGGUGAGGGAUGAAAGCUGGGGGAGCGAACCGGAUUAGAUA